GAUGAACGCUAGCGGCAGGCCUAAUACAUGCAAGUCGAGCGGCAAGUCGAGGAGUAAUCUGAGACCUAGAGCGGCGUACGGGUGCGUAACGCGUAUGCAACCUACCUCAUACAGGGGGAUAGCCCGGAGAAAUCUGGAUUAAUACCCCGUGGCACAGCACAAGGGCAUCUGCGAGCUGUUAAAGAUUCAUCGGUAUGAGAUGGGCAUGCGUCUGAUUAGCUAGUUGGCGGUGUAACGGACCACCAAGGCGACGAUCAGUAGGGGUUCUGAGAGGAAGGUCCCCCACACUGACACUGAGAUACGGGCCAGACUCCUACGGGAGGCAGCAGUAGGGAAUAUUGGGCAAUGGUCGGAAGACUGACCCAGCCAUGCCGCGUGCAGGAAGAAGGCCUAUUGGGUUGUAAACUGCUUUUAUCUGGGAAGAAAAGGCCCGUGCGCGGGACAUUGCCGGUACCAGAUGAAUAAGCACCGGCUAACUCCGUGCCAGCCGCCGCGGUAACAC
rnacentral:rRNA from 1 species